GUUUCUGUGACCUGAGGCUUCAUUAAAUUCAUGCCAGAGCAGGAAGAAUCUUUACUGCUGCUCCACCACUCGUAUCACUUUUCCUGUCUUCUGGGACCUGACAUUUCAGGAGAAGAAGAUGCCUCACCCCCUCCUCUGCCUGAUAACUGGAGUGAGGAUAAAGUCAGGUCAAGCCUCUUCCUCAUAAUCAUUUAAUCUAAUAAUAACGCAAAGCCUGUGUUGAUUUCUAUGCACAAGAUGCAAGGGACAGUAAGUUACAUUUGGGUAUUUUUUGAGGAAACCUCUUGAACCAUUUUGAAUCUUUUCAUUUUGUAUUUUUUAUUCAUUUGUCUACUACCCCUUUCUCAAAAAGAAAAGCGCAUUGCAGAAGAAGAGGAGAUAUGGCAAUUCCCGGCACGUUUACAGUGCUCACAUUGACAACACCCGUCUUGGUGUCUCGAGUGGUAAACAAAAUGACGAGAUGCUUGGUAUUCUGCGUGGGAUUUGCGCUGCCUAAAAAUAUAAUAUGUCUGGCAAGGCAUUGCCUGUGCUGAACGUAAAUGAUAUUGAAAUGCCUGCAUUGGAGAAAAGGAAAAAGGAAGAAAAAGGCAAGACUGAGGCUCAACUUCAUAAGCUGAGCAGUUGUGGAUCAUGUACGACUUUGAUGACGUCAUUGAUGCCGGAGAGCAGUACUUGGGGGGCCAAAAGACUUAAGCUUCUGUGAAGAGGGGACCCUUAAACUCCACAACCACUGGAAUAAGUGUGUCAACCUACAAGGGGACUACGUUGAAAACCAAAUGUUUCAAUUUGUCAUGAAAAAAAAAAAGUUGUACCAGAGGCCACAAACCUUUCAAUCAUCCCUCGUAUAUCCAUUGUUUUACUCCAGACUGGACUGCUACAGUAAUUCAUCUUAAUUGUUGACAUGUAGGUACAGGUACUAUAUAUCGGCGUGCUUAGUUGUAAGCCGUUUACUGUACUGUAUUUUUAAGGG